AUGAGGCCUGUGGAUACAGUCAUUGAUCGAGUAUCGGACCUCAUUGAUACUGAUCAUUGGACUUGGAAACAUGAUGUGAUUACGGAGAACUUCACCGUUCGGGAUGCUGCUGCCAUCCUAAACAUCCCCGUCAAGCAAGGUGGAGGUGAAGAUUUCCCCUCUUGGGCUUUUGACAAAUCAGGGAACUAUACUGUAAAAACGGCGUACCGCGCUCUUGUGACUCAGAACGAGCUUUUGGCUCAAGAGGAAGGGACGGCUACCGAAACUUCAACGGACGAUCAACAGUUAUGGAAAUCCCUGUGGAAAUUUAAAGUUAUUCCCAAAGUAAGAGUAUUU
rnacentral:rRNA from 1 species